rnacentral:rRNA from 1 species
UGGGGAAUAUUGCACAAUGGGCGCAAGCCUGAUGCAGCCAUGCCGCGUGUGUGAAGAAGGCCUUCGGGUUGUAAAGCACUUUCAGCGGGGAGGAAGGCGGUGAGGUUAAUAACCUCACCGAUUGACGUUACCCGCAGAAGAAGCACCGGCUAACUCCGUGCCAGCAGCCGCGGUAAUACGGAGGGUGCAAGCGUUAAUCGGAAUUACUGGGCGUAAAGCGCACGCAGGCGGUCUGUCAAGUCGGAUGUGAAAUCCCUGGGCUCAACCUGGGAACUGCAUUCGAAACUGGCAGGCUAGAGUCUUGUAGAGGGGGGUAGAAUUCCAGGUGUAGCGGUGAAAUGCGUAGAGAUCUGGAGGAAUACCGGUGGCGAAGGCGGCCCCCUGGACAAAGACUGACGCUCAGGUGCGAAAGCGUGGGGAGCAAACAGG